rnacentral:rRNA from 1 species
AAGACCCUGUUGAGCUUGACUCUAGUCUGGCACGGUGAAGAGACAUGAGAGGUGUAGAAUAAGUGGGAGGCCCCCGGCGCCCGGCCCCGUCCUCGCGUCGGGGUCGGGGCACGCCGGCCUCGCGGGCCGCCGGUGAAAUACCACUACUCUCAUCGUUUUUUCACUGACCCGGUGAGGCGGGGGGGCGAGCCCCGAGGGGCUCUCGCUUCUGGCGCCAAGCGUCCGUCCCACGCGUGCGGGCGGGCGCGACCCGCUCCGGGGACAGUGCCAGGUGGGGAGUUUGACUGGGG